rnacentral:rRNA from 1 species
UUAAGUUAUUAAGGGCGCACGGUGGAUGCCUUGGCACUAGAAGCCGAUGAAGGACGUUACUAACGACGAUAUGCUUUGUGGAGCUGUAAGUAAGCUUUGAUCCAGAGAUUUCCGAAUGGGGAAACCCAGCAUGAGUUAUGUCAUGUUAUCGAUAUGUGAAUACAUAGCAUAUCAGAAGGCACACCCGGAGAACUGAAACAUCUUAGUACCCGGAGGAAGAGAAAGAAAAUUCGAUUCCCUUAGUAGCGGCGAGCGAAACGGGAAGAGCCCAAACCAACAAGCUUGCUUGUUGGGGUUGUAGGACACUCUAUACGGAGUUACAAAGGACGACAUUAGACGAAUCAUCUGGAAAGAUGAAUCAAAGAAGGUAAUAAUCCUGUAGUCGAAAAUGUUGUCUCUCUUGAGUGGAUCCUGAGUACGACGGAGCACGUGAAAUUCCGUCGGAAUCUGGGAGGACCAUCUCCUAAGGCUAAAUACUCUCUAGUGACCGAUAGUGAACCAGUACCGUGAGGGAAAGGUGAAAAGCACCCCGGAAGGGGAGUGAAAUAGAACCUGAAACCGUGUGCUUACAAGUAGUCAGAGCCCGUUAAUGGGUGAUGGCGUGCCUUUUGUAGAAUGAACCGGCGAGUUACGAUUUGAUGCAAGGUUAAGCAGUAAAUGUGGAGCCGUAGCGAAAGCGAGUCUGAAUAGGGCGUUUAGUAUUUGGUCGUAGACCCGAAACCAGGUGAUCUACCCUUGGUCAGGUUGAAGUUCAGGUAACACUGAAUGGAGGACCGAACCGACUUACGUUGAAAAGUGAGCGGAUGAACUGAGGGUAGCGGAGAAAUUCCAAUCGAACCUGGAGAUAGCUGGUUCUCUCCGAAAUAGCUUUAGGGCUAGCCUCAAGUGAUGAUUAUUGGAGGUAGAGCACUGUUUGGACGAGGGGCCCCUCUCGGGUUACCGAAUUCAGACAAACUCCGAAUGCCAAUUAAUUUAACUUGGGAGUCAGAACAUGGGUGAUAAGGUCCGUGUUCGAAAGGGAAACAGCCCAGACCACCAGCUAAGGUCCCAAAAUAUAUGUUAAGUGGAAAAGGAUGUGGCGUUGCCCAGACAACUAGGAUGUUGGCUUAGAAGCAGCCAUCAUUUAAAGAGUGCGUAAUAGCUCACUAGUCGAGUGACACUGCGCCGAAAAUGUACCGGGGCUAAACAUGUUACCGAAGCUGUGGAUUGUCCUUUGGACAAUGGUAGGAGAGCGUUCUAAGGGCGUUGAAGCAUGAUCGUAAGGACAUGUGGAGCGCUUAGAAGUGAGAAUGCCGGUGUGAGUAGCGAAAGACGGGUGAGAAUCCCGUCCACCGAUUGACUAAGGUUUCCAGAGGAAGGCUCGUCCGCUCUGGGUUAGUCGGGUCCUAAGCUGAGGCCGACAGGCGUAGGCGAUGGAUAACAGGUUGAUAUUCCUGUACCACCUAUAAUCGUUUUAAUCGAUGGGGGGACGCAGUAGGAUAGGCGAAGCGUGCGAUUGGAUUGCACGUCUAAGCAGUAAGGCUGAGUAUUAGGCAAAUCCGGUACUCGUUAAGGCUGAGCUGUGAUGGGGAGAAGACAUUGUGUCUUCGAGUCGUUGAUUUCACACUGCCGAGAAAAGCCUCUAGAUAGAAAAUAGGUGCCCGUACCGCAAACCGACACAGGUAGUCAAGAUGAGAAUUCUAAGGUGAGCGAGCGAACUCUCGUUAAGGAACUCGGCAAAAUGACCCCGUAACUUCGGGAGAAGGGGUGCUCUUUAGGGUUAACGCCCAGAAGAGCCGCAGUGAAUAGGCCCAAGCGACUGUUUAUCAAAAACACAGGUCUCUGCUAAACCGUAAGGUGAUGUAUAGGGGCUGACGCCUGCCCGGUGCUGGAAGGUUAAGAGGAGUGGUUAGCUUCUGCGAAGCUACGAAUCGAAGCCCCAGUAAACGGCGGCCGUAACUAUAACGGUCCUAAGGUAGCGAAAUUCCUUGUCGGGUAAGUUCCGACCCGCACGAAAGGCGUAACGAUUUGGGCACUGUCUCAACGAGAGACUCGGUGAAAUCAUAGUACCUGUGAAGAUGCAGGUUACCCGCGACAGGACGGAAAGACCCCGUGGAGCUUUACUGUAGCCUGAUAUUGAAAUUCGGCACAGCUUGUACAGGAUAGGUAGGAGCCUUUGAAACGUGAGCGCUAGCUUACGUGGAGGCGCUCGUGGGAUACUACCCUAGCUGUGUUGGCUUUCUAACCCGCACCACUUAUCGUGGUGGGAGACAGUGUCAGGCGGGCAGUUUGACUGGGGCGGUCGCCUCCUAAAAGGUAACGGAGGCGCUCAAAGGUUCCCUCAGAAUGGUUGGAAAUCAUUCAUAGAGUGUAAAGGCAUAAGGGAGCUUGACUGCGAGACCUACAAGUCGAGCAGGGUCGAAAGACGGACUUAGUGAUCCGGUGGUUCCGCAUGGAAGGGCCAUCGCUCAACGGAUAAAAGCUACCCCGGGGAUAACAGGCUUAUCUCCCCCAAGAGUUCACAUCGACGGGGAGGUUUGGCACCUCGAUGUCGGCUCAUCGCAUCCUGGGGCUGUAGUCGGUCCCAAGGGUUGGGCUGUUCGCCCAUUAAAGCGGUACGCGAGCUGGGUUCAGAACGUCGUGAGACAGUUCGGUCCCUAUCCGUCGUGGGCGUAGGAAAUUUGAGAGGAGCUGUCCUUAGUACGAGAGGACCGGGAUGGACAUACCUCUGGUGUACCAGUUGUCGUGCCAACGGCAUAGCUGGGUAGCUAUGUGUGGACGGGAUAAGUGCUGAAAGCAUCUAAGCAUGAAGCCCCCCUCAAGAUGAGAUUUCCCAACUUCGGUUAUAAGAUCCCUCAAAGAUGAUGAGGUUAAUAGGUUCGAGGUGGAAGCAUGGUGACAUGUGGAGCUGACGAAUACUAAUCGAUCGAAGACUUAAUCAA